rnacentral:rRNA from 1 species
UACGGGGGGGGCAAGCGUUGUUCGGAAUUACUGGGCGUAAAGGGCUCGUAGGCGGCCAACUAAGUCAGACGUGAAAUCCCUCGGCUUAACCGGGGAACUGCAUCUGAUACUGGAUGGCUUGAGUUCGGGAGAGGGAUGCGGAAUUCCAGGUGUAGCGGUGAAAUGCGUAGAUAUCUGGAGGAACACCGGUGGCGAAGGCGGCAUCCUGGACCGACACUGACGCUGAGGGACGAAAGCUAGGGGAGCGAAAGGG